rnacentral:tRNA from 1 species
GGGCUCGUAGCUCAGUUGGUUAGAGCGUUUCCUUGACGUGGAAAAGGUCUGCAGUUCGAGUCUGCACGAGCCCA